rnacentral:rRNA from 1 species
AUUGAACGCUGGCGGCAGGCCUAACACAUGCAAGUCGAGCGGAUGAAGGGAGCUUGCUCCUGGAUUCAGCGGCGGACGGGUGAGUAAUGCCUAGGAAUCUGCCUGGUAGUGGGGGAUAACGUCCGGAAACGGGCGCUAAUACCGCAUACGUCCUGAGGGAGAAAGUGGGGGAUCUUCGGACCUCACGCUAUCAGAUGAGCCUAGGUCGGAUUAGCUAGUUGGUGGGGUAAAGGCCUACCAAGGCGACGAUCCGUAACUGGUCUGAGAGGAUGAUCAGUCACCCUGGAACUUGGACACGGUCCAGACUCCUACGGGAGGCAGCAGUGGGCAAUAUUGGACAAUGGGCGAAAGCCUGAUCCAGCCAUGCCGCGUGUGUGAAGAAGGUCUUCGGAUUGUAAAGCACUUUAAGUUGGGAGGAAGGGCAGUAAGUUAAUACCUUGCUGUUUUGACGUUACCAACAGAAUAAGCACCGGCUAACUUCGUG